rnacentral:lncRNA from 1 species
UUUUUUUUUUUUUUUUUUUUUUUUCUUUAAAAGUGAGCCCUUGGGCAGCCCCAGUGGCCCAGUGGUUUAGCGCCGCCUUCAGCCCAGGGCAUGAUCCCGGAGUCCCACAUCAGACUUCCUGCAUAGAGCCUGCUUCUCCCUCUGCCUAUGUCUCUGCCUCUUUCUCUCUCUGUCUCUCAUGAAUAAAUAAAUAAAUAAUCUUUUAAAAUAAAUAAAUAAAAUAAAAUAAAAAAGAAUAGAAUAGAAUAGAAUAGAAUAGAAUAGAAUAGAAUAGAAUAGAAGUGAGCCCUUAUGCAUUGUUGGUAGGAAUAUAAAUUGGUGCAGCCACUGUGGAAAAUAAUAUGGAAGAUCCUCAAGAAAUUAAAAAUAGAAAUACCCCAUGAUCCAGCAAUUCCACUUCUGGGAAUAUAUAACACUAAGAAAUAAGGAAAUAAAAACAUUAAUUCAAAAAGAUAUCUGUAGCCCCAUGUUCACAGCAGCAUUAUUUACAAAAACCAAGUAGAUACAACUAGGUGUCCAUCAACAAACGAGUGGAUCAAGACGUUGUGGUAUACACAUCAUGGAAGAUUAUCCAGCCACCAAAAAAUGAGGAAAUCCUACUAUUUGUGACAAUAUGUAUGGACCUUGGAGGUUUAUGCUGAGUGAAAUAAGUCAGAUGGAGAAAGACCAAUACCUUAUGGAUCUCAUUUACAUGUGGAAUCUUAAAAAACAAACUCAGAGAAAAAGAGAUCAGACUUGUGGUUAUCACAGGUAGAUGGUUGGGAGGAGGAGAAAACAGAGAAAGCAGUUAAAAGAUACAAACUUCCAGUUGAGGGCAGGCCUGGUGGCGCAGCAGUUUAGCGCCGCCUGAAGCCCAGGGUGUGAUCCUGGAGACCCAGGAUUGAGUCCCAUGUCAGGCUCCCUGCAUAGAGCCUGCUUCUCCCUCUGCCUGUGUCUCUAUGAAUAAAUAAAUAAAUAAAUCUUUAAAACAAACUUGCAGUUGAGAUAAAUAAAUGUAAGGAUGUAAGGUAAGGUAAGGUAAGGAUGUAAGGUAAGGUAAGGAUGUAAGGAUGUAAGGUAAGAUAAAUAAAUGUAAGGAUGUAAGGUACAACAUGAUGACUAUAGCUAACAAUGCUGUACAGAUAUACUGAAAAUUUCUUAAAAGAAUAAAUCCUGGGCAGCCCCUGUGGCACAGCGGUUUAGCGCCGCCUGCAGCCCAGGGCGUGAUCCUGGAGACCCUGGAUCCAGUCCUGUGUCGGGCUCUCUGCAUGGAGCCUGCUUCUCCCUCUGCCUGUGUCUCUGCCUCUCUCUCUGUGUCUCUAUGAAUAAAUAAAUAAAAUCUUAAAAAAAAAAUAAAUCCUAAGAGUUCUCAUCACAAAGAAAAAUUUUUUUUCUUUUUUCUUUUCAUUGUAUCUAUAGGAGAGGAUGGAAAUUAGCUGAACCUAUUAUGGUGUUCAUUUCACAACAGAUGUAAAUCAAACCAUCAAGUGGUAGGCCUUAAACUUAUACAGUGAUGUAUGUCAAUUAUUUUUCAAAAAAACUGGAAAAAACAAAAACAAAUUCUUAGCACGCCCCUCCCACUCCUUCCCAAUUUGCAGUUUUGUUCCAUACCAGUAGCUGACAUGGUUUCAUAUCCUAGCAUGCUCUCUUCUCUUCCUUUCCCUCUUCCCCUUAACUCCUACUCUUCCUUCGGAGCUCUGUCUUCCCUAACCCUCCAGAUCAAACUCCCCAUUACAAACCUUUACCGCCAGGUCCAGUGGACUGAAAACUUACCUUUUCUGUCUUUGAUUUUGGGCUAUGAUUUCUUCCAACAUUCUACGACAGAAUGAAUGAUCAGUUUGUCUCCAGCACUGCAUGCGCCCAGGGAAUCUGUAAAAGAAGUUUUAUACUUUCAAACUGGAAUGAGCUAGUUAGGCUUUACCAUAGUUUUGCAUAAGGGAGGGAACAUGGUUCAGAAAAAAGGCAAGGCUGAAAAAAAUAAGAUCCAUGUGAAAGUCAGAGGACUAAAGGUGUGCACCCAUGUUAGGUAUAUGGCCCUCCCCCUAGGUCCAGACAGAGUAGUGUCUGUUGCUAUGUAUGUUACCUUUGGGGUCCAACCUCACACAACUUAUUGAAAGAGGAUCUUGGAAUUGAGUUGCGGUUGAAAGCACUAACUAUAGAAUUCUGAAGCUCCCUAGGAGAUUCUUUGCUCACCUAGGGGGAGAACUACAGGUCAAUGUCGACAGGUAUACAAAGGACUUUUUUUUAAAGAUUUUAUUUAUUUAUUUGACAGAGAGAGAAAGAGCACAAGCAGGGAGAGAGGCAGAGAGAGAGGAAGAAGCAGACCACCCCCAUUCCCCUUGCUGAGCUGGGAGCCCUAUGUGGGCUCAAUCCCAGGACCCUUGGAUCAUGACCCGAGCUGAAGGCAGACGCUUAACCCACUGGGCCACCCAGGUGCCCCUACAAAGGAUGUUCUGACCUCACUGACAUUCCUUAAGACUGAAAGCUUAAGGUUAAGAGUACAGCUUUUGGAGUCAGACACACCCAGGGUACUAGUUGAGUGAUUCCAGACAAGUUAGUCUGCCUCUUUACACCCACCACACAGAAGUGCCUUGGUCUCAAUUUAUUACCUAAGUACAAUGCGCAUGGCACCACCUGAAGGGCUUACUAAAAUGCUGAUUACGGGCCCCACUCCCAAAAUUUCUGAUUCGGCAGUUCUGCGAUGGGGUCUGAGAAGGCACCUCUGGCAGCCCAGACGCACACGUUGUGCACCACGGUCCUAGCACACCGGGAGGACCCGACAGACGAAUCCUCGCCUGCUCUAAGAGCUAAGACGUUCUGCACGGCCGCGCCGCCCCGCCCGCCCGGCCCAGGAGUUCUCAGCCGCUUCCACGUUGCUA